rnacentral:rRNA from 1 species
UGGGGAAUUUUGCACAAUGGGCGCAAGCCUGAUGCAGCGACGCCGCGUGAGGGAUGAAGGCCUUCGGGUUGUAAACCUUUUUCGCUCAUGGUCAAGCCGCAGCUUUGGGUUGUGGUGAGGGUAGUGGGGAAAGAAGCGCCGGCUAACUACGUGCCAGCAGCCGCGGUAAUACGUAGGGCGCGAGCGUUGUCCGGAAUUAUUGGGCGUAAAGGGCUUGUAGGCGGUUGGCCGCGUCUGCCGUGAAAUCCUCUGGCUUAACUGGGGGCGUGCGGUGGGUACGGGUUGACUUGAGUGCGGUAGGGGAGACUGGAAUUCCUGGUGUAGCGGUGGAAUGCGCAGAUAUCAGGAGGAACACCGGUGGCGAAGGCGGGUCUCUGGGCCGUUACUGACGCUGAGGAGCGAAAGCGUGGGGAGCGAACAGG